GACGAACGCUGGCGGCGUGCUUAACACAUGCAAGUCGAACGGAAAGGCCCAGCUUUUGUGGGGUGCUCGAGUGGCGAACGGGUGAGUAACACGUGAGUAACCUGCCCUUGACUUUGGGAUAACUUCAGGAAACUGGGGCUAAUACCGGAUAGGAGCACCUGCUGCAUGGUGGGGGUUGGAAAGUUUCGGCGGUUGGGGAUGGACUCGCGGCUUAUCAGCUUGUUGGUGGGGUAGUGGCUUACCAAGGCUUUGACGGGUAGCCGGCCUGAGAGGGUGACCGGCCACAUUGGGACUGAGAUACGGCCCAGACUCCUACGGGAGGCAGCAGUGGGGAAUAUUGCACAAUGGGCGGAAGCCUGAUGCAGCAACGCCGCGUGCGGGAUGACGGCCUUCGGGUUGUAAACCGCUUUCGCCUGUGACGAAGCGUGAGUGACGGUAAUGGGUAAAGAAGCACCGGCUAACUACGUG
rnacentral:rRNA from 1 species